rnacentral:rRNA from 1 species
UACGAAGGGGGCUAGCGUUGCUCGGAAUCACUGGGCGUAAAGCGUGCGCAGGCGGUUCGUUGUGUCGGCGGGGAAAGCCCCGGGCUUAACCUGGGAAUGGCCGUCGAAACUGGCGAACUGGAGUGUGGCAGAGGGGGGUGGAAUUCCGCGUGUAGCAGUGAAAUGCGUAGAGAUGCGGAGGAACACCGAUGGCGAAGGCAGCCCCCUGGGCUGACACUGACGCUCAGGCACGAAAGCGUGGGGAGCAAACAGG